UAAUACAUUAUUUGCUCUGGAGCUCCCGGUUCGCUCAAUUGGUCGGUAGUCAACUUAGCCAUAGCUUCGUCGUUUGGAGCUAAGACCGUCAAAACGUAGCCUUCCGACACGAGGCGACCCAUCUCGGUGGCUAGAGAAGUGAGGUUGACGAGAAUGUCCGCCAUCUCGUUGUAUCCACCGUAAUGGAGCAGAGUGUGGAUAAAGUCUUUGACUUGAGCCUCUCCGUUGAAAUGGUGGCGAGGCCCGCCCGGUCCUGGCGCCGGAGCCGGAGCGAGUGACGGACCGGGUGACAUUGCGUCGUAAACAGGGAGAACCGGUGGAGCCCGGCGGGAACUGGUGCAGGCUUUUUCUUGAGACGGUGGGUUCUCGGGUCGACUUCCGGUGCUCCUUCCGGUAACACGGCGGAGAUGGAUCGGAGGUUACGUCGGCGGUUGAAAUCUUCUUGGACGGAGCGAGGGAUCAAAAGACGUUCGAUCCCGUGGAUGAUACCAUCGGGUCGGGUUACGUCAUCGGGUUUAGUGAUUACGGCGGAGUUGACUUUUCCGGCGGUGAAAUGGAGGUGAUCGUUGGAGAGACUGCGGUGGCUGACGACGGAUGAGGCGGAGAGUUGCGGAGAAGUGAUUCUUUUGGGGAGAAUGUGGAACAUCAAGAGAGUUUGUAAUGAUUUGAGAUUCUUUGGUUGUAACAAGAAAGACUUGAACUCAGGGUCAAGGUUACGUUCUAAAGCUUCGUUACGAGGGGCGAAGAUCGUGAUGUUGUGUUGACCAACGGCUUCUUCUAAGGUUUGGAGGAGAAGAGCUUUCUCCACGAGUUCUGCUAGUUCGGUGUAGUGAGAGUCGAGAAGAGCCACGAGGACGGAGUUGGAGUUUAUUUGACCCGACCCGGUUUUAUCGGGUAAUGCGGUGGUGAUAAUGGAGGAGGCAGUCAAAAGGAGGAGGGAGAAGAGGAACUUGGAGACGCCUUCCCUGCGAGUGAGAGAAGAAAGAAUAGAAAGUGUCGGCGAUUUAAAGAGGUUUGGUUUGUAAUUUGAGAUGGUAAGGUGAUGUGAUUUUGAUUAUGAUUGUGAUGUUUCUUCUUCCCAACUUUUUUUUUUUUUUUGUGUUUCAUUUUCUUGGAUAUUUAAUGAUUUUCGGUGGGUGGGUUUAAAUGCUUUUCUCUAAUUGUUUUUUUUUAACAACGCUUUUCACUCUUUUCUCUAAUUGUAUUUAUUUAUUUAAUUUGGGAUUCGUUUUGGUUAUUUGGAGGACAAGAGUGAGGUCCACACGGGAAGUAAAAGUUAUGGUGACGUCUUUUUAAACUUGAAGCCAAGAGUUCAGCUUUUUCAACAACUCAUCAGCUUCUGGUCUUUGAGUUUGAGCCUCGUGUUGUGUGUGUCGGUUACUCAUAUGCACAAUUCACGUUGCCUUCGAGUCAAAUAUAUUUUCCCUUUUUUUGGGUUUUUUCUCCUGUGAUAAAAGAAAAAAAAUAUCAUUUGUUUCAUGUUUCAUAUUAAGUGUCACUUUAUCAUUUUUUCUUGUUACAAAAAUGUGUCAUUUUAGAAAUCUAAUACAACUUUCAGUUUAAAAUAAUUACAACUGCAUUGAUUUUAUAAAUAAUUUUAUUUAUCUCAAAUACUAUUGGUUGAUUGUGUAUAAUUAAUAAGAACUUAAAUACAUUUCAAUCAUUUUCUUAAACUGUGUGAAAAAUGUAAAAGUGACAUUUUUAUAAAACAGAGUGAGUAGAAAAUAGAACACACGGAAUCGUAAUGUGUUUAUUUGUGACUUAAACAUUGAUUAGUUUUGUGUUAAGAAAAAAAACAUUGAUUAGUUCUCUCAAAUGCAUUGCAAGUUUCCAUGACGAUUGCUACUUGUGAUUUAGGCUCUUGCCACUGGUUUCACACCCAUUAAUCAUUAUAUACCUUGGCCUAGUAAAGCAGCUUCCCACGAGAGAUUUCUAGUGUUCCAAACUCAUAUUUGAAAACCGAAAAAGUCUAGAAAGCUGAUUUACUAGGCAAAGGCAUAUAGAAAACUAAAGCUGCUUAGUUUGGGUUAUGAUCAUAUUCUUUAGUUUUUGGUGUACAUAAACAUUCUUUUUCAGAUGAUCAAUAAAUUUAAUAUUUCAUCAGAAAAAAAAAACUAAAGCUGCUUGGAAGAUAUAUGUAUGGUUUACUUAGUUCAGUUCAAAACAAUUAAAAUUAUCAUUGAACAUAUAUAUUGCAACCACCCAAAAAUUGAUCAUUUACAUUAUUACUUGAUUCUGUUCACAAAUUUUUUCACAUGUUUACAGAACUGUAAAAAUUUAUCAUGUCCGGAUUUCAUUUGGCCAUCUCACUGACAUGUGUGAAAUUGUGAACCAAACAUUCUGCAUGCUACCUCCAUCAAUUUCCCUGCACAUGAUACAAAAUCAGUUAGAAAUUAUUGUUUUUUGUUUGAGGAAAUUAUCAUUAUCCCAACCAGUUUGUUUUUCCUGGUGACAUUGUAUUGAAUUAACAAUAUAACAAGAAAAUAACAUUUAUAAUGAUUUAUUAUAACUUAAUGUUCAAAUAGAUAUAUUAAGACGGAAAAGGAAGUCAUGAAUCAGAGCAAGUUGUCUUUUUUAUAUAUAUCAAAGAGCAAGUUGUCUCUAUCAACCAAAAUGACACACAACUCCGCUUUUCAAAAAGAAAAUAAGCACUUUGUGGUUUUCUUUUUACUAUUAACAUGGGAUUCUUCGUCGGUGGGUGAUUAAAUAGUUUAUAAUCCAAAUUAAUCCCACACCAUUAUUUAAUACUAUUGGAAUAUAUGUUAUAUUAUCAUACCAAAGUUUGUUAACGAGACUUUGUCUCAUUCUCACACGUCUAAUCUCACUUUCUACUUAGUACUCUGUCAUUGCAAAGACUUAACUAUAUGUGACUAAUUAUAAUUUAUCUGUUUAUAAUCAUGGUUCAAUUAUAUUUUCCAUCAGCUAGAGAAAAAUCACACACAAAAUUCCUAAAGCAAUGAAUGUUAUUCUAGCUUUUGUAAUAAUGUUUCAAACAAACAAAACAAAAACUUUUCAAUGGUGUUAUGUACUAUGUUUAGUUUAAAAUUAAAUAGGUUGGGGUUAAAACGUCAAAAUCAGAUAGCUAACGACCAAAAUUAAGAAGCUUGAAAUUUAUUAAAAAUUGAUUACCUCUUCUCGGUUUAGCGGUUUUCUUAACAACCGGACCGGCGGAUUUCUUCUCAACCGGAGUUUCUUCCUCCGGGAAUAAAACACCGUCAAUCCCCUGAACCGAAAUACGUCCAUCGGUAUAGAUAUCAGGAUCGAACAAAUAAGCCGAACCGUCACCAUGACCGAAUUUAACCGAACCGUCUGCCUCCUGAGCCUCAACCUUGUGAGGAAACCGGAGCGAAUCAUACCGAAUUUUCCCAAACCGGCGUACAGAAUUGUACAUACUCUCCUCGGUUUGGUACUCCGGUAUGAUAUGGUAAUACAUUAUUUGCUCUGGAGCUCCCGGUUCGCUCAAUUGGUCUGUGGUCAACUUAGCCAUAGCUUCGUCGUUCGGAGCUAGGACCGUUAAAACGUAGCCUUCCGACACGAGCCGACCCAUCUCGGUGGCUAGAGAAGUGAGGUUGACGAGAAUGUCCGCCAUCUCGUUGUAUCCACCGUAAUGGAGCAGAGUGUGGAUGAAAUCUUUGACUUGAGCCUCUCCGUUGAAAUGGUGGCGAGGCCCGCCCGGUCCUGGUGCCGGAGCCGGGGCGAGUGACGGACCGGGGGACAUUGCGUGUGGUGCCGGAGCCGGAGCGAGUGACGGACCGGGUGACAUUGCGUCGUAAACCGGGAGAACCGGUGGUGCUCCGGCGGGAACUGGUGCAGGCUUUUUCUUGAGACGGUGGGUUCUCGGGUCGACUUCCGGUGCUCCUUCCGGUAACACGGCGGAGAUGGAUCGGAGGUUACGUCGGCGGUUGAAAUCUUCUUGGACGGAGCGAGGGAUCAAAAGACGUUCGAUCCCGUGGAUGAUACCAUCGGGUCGGGUUACGUCAUCGGGUUUAGUGAUUACGGCGGAGUUGACUUUUCCGGCGGUGAAAUGGAGGUGAUCGUUGGAGAGACUGCGGUGGCUGACGACGGAUGAGGCGGAGAGUUGCGGAGAAGUGAUUCUUUUGGGGAGAAUGUGGAACAUCAAGAGAGUUUGUAAUGAUUUGAGAUUCUUUGGUUGUAACAAGAAAGACUUGAACUCAGGGUCAAGGUUACGUUCUAAAGCUUCGUUACGAGGGGCGAAGAUCGUGAUGUUGUGUUGACCAACGGCUUCUUCUAAGGUUUGGAGGAGAAGAGCUUUCUCCACGAGUUCUGCUAGUUCGGUGUAGUGAGAGUCGAGAAGAGCCACGAGGACGGAGUUGGAGUUUAUUUGACCCGACCCGGUUUUAUCGGGUAAUGCGGUGGUGAUAAUGGAGGAGGCAGUCAAAAGGAGGAGGGAGAAGAGGAACUUGGAGACGCCUUCCAUGGUGGUCGAGGGAAAGAAGAGGAACUUGGAGACGCCGUCCAUGGUGGUCGAGGGAAAGAGUGAGAGAAGAAAGAAUAGAAAGUGUCGGCGAUUUAAAGAGGUUUGGUUUGUAAUUUGAGAUGGUAAGGUGAUGUGAUUUUGAUUAUGAUUGUGAUGUUUCUUCUUCCCAACUUUUUUUUUUUUUUUGUGUUUCAUUUUCUUGGAUAUUUAAUGAUUUUCGGUGGGUGGGUUUAAAUGCUUUUCUCUAAUUGUUUUUUUUUAACAACGCUUUUCACUCUUUUCUCUAAUUGUAUUUAUUUAUUUAAUUUGGGAUUCGUUUUGGUUAUUUGGAGGACAAGAGUGAGGUCCACACGGGAAGUAAAAGUUAUGGUGACGUCUUUUUAAACUUGAAGCCAAGAGUUCAGCUUUUUCAACAACUCAUCAGCUUCUGGUCUUUGAGUUUGAGCCUCGUGUUGUGUGUGUCGGUUACUCAUAUGCACAAUUCACGUUGCCUUCGAGUCAAAUAUAUUUUCCCUUUUUUUGGGUUUUUUCUCCUGUGAUAAAAGAAAAAAAAUUAUUCGACUAAAUGUUCAUUUUCAUAUAAACCAAAAAAUCUAUGAAAUGCCUUUUUGGGUAGUCAAUAACUUGUAAUAUCGUCACCAUGCUGGAUGAGCAAAUUAGCUUUUGAAUAAUAUAUAAAUUGCUAUUUAUAGUUGGUUAAAAAUAAUAUAUAAAAUAAAUUAGAUAUGUUCCAUCUUGAUAGAAUUACAAAUUGAUAUUUGUUGAUUUCUCAAAAAAAAAAUGAUAUUUGUUUAGCGUUAUUAAAUAUAACUAGAUUUCCACCCGCACAAACGUGCGGAUAUAUAUUUUCACAUUUAUAUAUAUAAAUAUUUGUUUUACAUAAUUAUUAUAUAUUUUUAAUGUUACUCAUAUAUUUAAAUAUUUGUAUAAUUAUGCCAAAUAUAAUAAUUUUAUAGUUUUUAUCUGUAAAUUAAAAUCAUCACAUAUAUAUGUUGCUUAUUAUAUAUUUGUCCUAUUGAAUUUGCGUUUGAUUACUAAACUAAUUUUUUUAAUGCGUGAAAUAAUAUAUAUGAAAACAAUUUUGUAUUUAAUAUAUUAUAAUCAUGAUCCGUAAUUCAAAUCGCUAAAUUUUUUAGUAAGUUUUUAAUGUUUAUUAAUUUAUAUAAUAAAUUACUGUAUAUUAAAAAGUUUGAGAUAAUUUAAAUUUUUAUACAUGUAUUAUAUAGUUUACUAAUAUUAACCCGUUCUACCAACAUAUUAUAUUUUUAGCACAAAUAUUUUAUAUUUAUGAAAAUAAAAUAUGUUAACUUAUCAAUUUAAAAUAAUUUUAUCAUAUUUUGUUCAAUAUAACGUUUUUAUUUUAAAAUGAUAGAUAUUAUCAUAAAUUGAUAAAAUAAGAUAUAAUUUUAUUCUUUUAGUAAAAUUUCAUUACUAAUUACAAAAUUAGUUGAAAAUAUUUAUAUUCAAUUUAUGACAAUUAAGAUCUUAUUAUAAUCUUUUUCAAGAGAUUUGUUAGAAUUUUAAAAAAAAAUUAAAAAAUUAAAAGAUAUAAAAGAUAUUAUGAUUAAAGUAGUUAAAAAUAUUAUAUAUAUUAGCAUUAGUGAUAUACAUUUAAUAGAAAAUUUAAAUGAUGGUCCAAAUAAAAAUAUCACUCAUCAAAAAAUCAUGAUUUUUGUUUUAUUAGAAAAAAAUUUGAAAAAAUUAAAAUAGAAAUAAAUAUUUAUUUCUAACAAAAUCUUUAAAAAUUAUUAGUAAAUGUAUUUUGAAAUUAAUAAAUUUCAUUUUACUUAAAUUUUCGUUUAUAAACCAAAACUAUAUUAAAUUUUAAUUUCGAAUUAUAUAUUAUGAUAAUUUAAAUUAAAACUAACUAAUUUUCGAAAGUAAAUUUAAAAAGAUUCUAAGAAGAUUUUAAAAAGAUUUUGUUAGAACAUUUUAAAUAUAUUCAUUUGUAUUUCAAAUAAAAAGAUAAAGAUUUUAAAAGAUAUAAUUUUCUAGGAAUGGUCCAAACUAAAAAAAUCACACAUGAAAAGAAGUCAUGACUUCUGUUUUAAUAUAUUAGAUAUCCAAGUAAAUCUAACUCCUUUUUUUAUCAAUAGAUAUUUGUUGAUUUCUCAAUAAAAAAUGAUAUUUGUUUAGCGUUAUUAAAUAUAAUAUCCAAGUAAAUUUAACUCCUUUUUUACCAACAAAAGUCAAUAAAACUUGCGAGAUGUGCAAAAUGAUAGGGUUUCAAUAGAAAAUGAUAAAAGUAUGUAGUUACAAUCCAACUGUGGAACUAUAUUUAUUUAUGGAAUUAUAAAAUUAGCAUUUUUUUUUGCCAAGAAUUUAAAUUUCAUAUAAAUAUGAGAAAAGUUUAUAAAACUUUACAAAAUAGUUAAAACUAGAUGGGGUGCACUUCGAAAAAAAAAAGAAUAAAAAACAAAGUGUAACCCAUAAUAGAAGAUUUUCUAAUCAUUCUUUAGCCAAGAAAACAUAAGGUUCUUGAAACUCUUCUUGUUGUGAUGUUUCCCCAAGAUUGAAUCUUUGAUGUUGCGAUCAAUGAGCUUACAAAUAGUUUGAGGAGUAGACGACAUUCCAUCAUGUAGACAUUUGUUCAUUUCCUCCUAGAUACUAUAGAUAGUUGCGUGAGCAACAAUUUUUUUGAGUAUCAGUAGAGCAGUGGAAUCUCUGAGAGAUAACCACUCAAUAAAAGAUGUCCAAGUGAUGAAGCAAGAGUGAGUAUAACCCAAACUUCUCAGAAUCAAAAUCCAAACUUGUUUAUUGAUUUCACAUUGUAAGAGCAUAUGGUCUCGGGUUUCCGACACUGUGUCACAGAGGCAGCAGUUUGAUGAGACCCCAAGGCCCUAGCUUGCGAGCCUCACUCUAGUUGCAUUAUAUCAUUCUGUUCAAUCCACAUGAGAAAAGCAUGUCGAGGAGUUGCCGUUUUGAACCAUACAAUGUUUGACCAAGUGACUGCAGGAGCUCUGUUUCUAAUCGCGUCCCAUGUCAUGCGAGAGGUAGAGAUGUCAUCUAAGUUCUCGCCAUCGACGAGCCAGUAAAAUACAUCAUCAGUUUGUGAGGAUGACGGCAAAUGAAUACUCAUGAUAUAAAUAUGGAGGCUAUCUGCAGCAGGCGAGCGCACACCUCUCAGUCUCCAACCAUUUUCAUCACAACUAUCUGCAACUGAAGCAAAUAGAGAAAUUGAGAGCUCACGAGGACCUGUGUCACCGAAUAUGUUGAUUAAACGGCCUAGAGGGGUCUAGAUAUCCCACCAAAAGCUUGUGCUUUCACCAUUUCUAACCUCUGCUCUUAAGACGCUUGUAGCUAAAGAUCGCAAGUUCAAGAGAGAUCUCCAUGUCCCUGAACCAGCUUUUUUAGCUUCGAGACUCCACAAACUCUCAUCUCCAAUUUUGUAUUUCUUGAUCCAAGAAGCCCAUAAAGAUAGAUUAGGAAUAUAUAGUCAAGUUGAGCUUCAGACAGAGGAUCUUAUUCCAAAUUUCCAGAUUUCUAAAACCAAGCCCCCCUUCUUUUUUGGGUAAACAGACUAUACUCCACGCAAUCUUUGUAACUCCAAGGUCAGUAACAUUUUCAGUCCAUAAGAAGCGAGAGAAUAAACUCUGAAUUUUCUGUAAGCAUCCUUUAGGCAGACCCCUAUUCGAAAAUGCGGCCGCCUAGACGCUGUUUGGAGGUUGACCGCGGCGAAUAUACCCAAAUCGGUGUAGCCAGGCGUUGACCCGCGUAAGACCGCCUCAUUUCCGCGUUGACCGCUUAUUCCCGCGUUGACCAUCUAAGUUUUUUUUUGUCAGUGUAAAGUUGAAACACGGUUGAUUAUUUUUACUCAUUAUUGACAGAUUUAUGUAAUUAUUCAUUACUAAAUAAUUUUAAUUAGCUAUCAAACCCAAAACAAACACAUAAUUACUGCAUUUAGGGAUUUGUUUUCGUAUCAAAUACACCAUAAUCUAAAUGUUCGACAAAUCAAAAGAGGUUAUUUAAAAUUAUAUAAUUAUGUCUACGAACAUGUGUUAUCAUGUUUAAAAUUAGCUAAAUAUAUUAUAAAUACAUUAAAUUGUAUUUAAAAUUAGUUCCCACGUAAUCCCCGAGUACUCCUCGAUUUUUUGGUAACUCGCUAUGCCCGGAAUUGUCGCCCGACUAGCGCCUAGCGUAGUUCCGAAGGGGGCAGAAUAAAAGCGGAGGUCCAGAAAUUUAUAGUUCCAUAGAUAACCAAUUUAAUCAACUCAGCUCGAUCAGCAUAAGACAACUUUUUGGAAGACCAAACAGUGAAAUGACCCUAGAUUGUCACUUACAGUGGCAUGCAGUCAGAAAUGCACAUCUUGCGGUGCAUCAGAGGAAGACCCAAGUAGCAGAUUGGCAUUGAACCCAGAGUGAAACCGGGACUUGUCAAAUGAGUAGUUUCAACUUGUUUCAAACCACCUACAAAGAGUUCGGUCUUGUCUUUGUUCAUCCUCAAACCAUACCAAGUGGCAAAUAACUUGAUAUAUGAUGUUUUAGACAUCUUGUAUAUAUGCUUUUCAACUAGUUUUCAAGUCUUUAUCGAGUCUUCCUAGUCCUUUUCGAGUCAUUAAAGGUCUGGAGCUGCAUUGGAUGGGAGAUGGACCAGUUGGAACAAAAAAGGUAGAAAACAGUGUAAUUUGGUGAUUUUCACGCAGAACAGUCGAGCGGAGCAACCCAAGUGCCUGUUCCAGCGGCAGAGAUUUUUAAGGAAAUUUCCAAAUAUUUCGGGAUUUUACCUAGGGCUUCCCUUUUUUUACUCCCAGGGCACCAUAGACCUGAAUAUAUAUAUUUUUUUAUUUUUUAUUAUGAUUCUACGCUAGUUUUUACAGAAGAAACCAUUGGAGACUUUUGUACUUGAAGAUUUGCUACCUUGAAAGGGAAAAUGCUUAAUCUCUCUCACCUUGAGAAGAUUCUUGAACCCUAUUUUAUUUAUUUAUUGAUUCAACAUGUUUUUUUCAUCUAUUGUCUCUGUGAUUUUUCUGUUCAUGGCUGAGUAGUCGCUUGUUAGGUUAAGGGUGUUAGGGAUCAUGGAUCAAUGAGCUAGACACAAAUAGGAUUGUUAUUCUUUGAUAUCUCUAUCUAUUGCUAAUCUUAAUGCUUGUGUUAAAAUGACUAUUUAUCAUCUGAUCAUAGGUUUAAUCUAAUCAUCAAAAGUGUUUUAGGUUGCUAGAAAAAUUAUAGAUAGGUGAUUUGUCCUUAGCCAACGAGAGCUGAUGUUAAGGCAAAUCGUAAACCAAUUGAAUCCAAACUUAAUGCUUGUCAUCAUUCUCUAAUCCAAACGACAGUUUAGGCAUUAAGAUUGCUUGAUAAAUUGGUAGACACCAUGAGAGUGGGUUUAUCUAUUCUUGUUGUUCAAGUUCUAGAUUGGCUCUUAUUGCCUUCCUGAAUAGUUAUGUAGCUGAUGAUCCUAAGUAUCUCGAUGAAUCACCCUGAACCUAGCUCUUUUAAUAAUCUGAAAACUGUAAAUCAAUCUCUUACUUGCUUGUUACGAAAUCCUCAAAUCUUAAAACCCCAUUAUUGUUUUAGCUAAGUAUUGAUCCCAUAGAAAUAAAUUGUAAUCGUUGGUCUCUGUGGAUUUGAUCCUAAAGUGCUAUAUCGACAUACUAUUCGAUUGUGGUAGUGUGCACAUUAGGUUAAUUAGUGUGCGUAUACAUGUAAUAUCAAUUUGGUGCCGUUGCCGGAGACCAUCUUUUUACCUUUAUUUUUGAUUAUUUAUUUAGUCUAAGAACUCAUAUAUAAUGUCCGGAAAAAAGAGAACUAAUCAGUCUUAGAGUGUUAUGAUUGGUGUAGAAUCUCAUUAAAGUCACCGAAAAUGAUCCAAAGGAUAUCUACUGCUAGCUGUGAUAUUGAACAUGCUUCCAACUCACUCCAAAGCAUACGUCUUUAAAUUCUACAGUUGGAGCCAUAGACAAAGGAUAUGACGAUCUCCUAAUUUAUUUGAGAGUCUCACAACACAAGAUGUCAUCUGAUUAAAACUCGAGAUAACUUUUACUAUAACCGAAGGAUACCAAACCACCCAUAUUCUUCCAAGAUCCGCGUGGUUAUAGUUUCCAUGGAAAUAUACCAACCUAGUAAAAUAAAAUUCAAAACAUUGUCCGAUUUAGAUAACUGUACAUGUGUCUCCACGAAACCACUAAAAAUAGGUUUAUUCUUCCGUAUUCAUUUUCUAAAACCUCUCCACGAGACCACCAAAAUUAGCAUUAUUAGUAUCGUAAAUUAAAGAAAAACCAAAAUUUGAUAAAAAAGAAAGAUGAAGAAAAACCAAAAAAAAAAAAAAAAGAGAAUCACGGGCAUAUCAAACAAAGUGUCGGUGUGACAUAAGAGACUCGAGGGAAUUUGUAUGAAAAUAUAAUUUAAUAUUGCAAAUGACAUUAUUGCCAAAAAGAAUUAAGUACCAUGUACCCUAUAGUUUAAUAUGAUUGUGAACUGCUUGCCGACUAAACACUAUUUACCUUGCGUUCUUUAGUAUCAAACGACAUUUAGAAAACACAUGCUUGCCCAAAAACACACAUCCAUCUUCCCUCUCGACAAAUUAUUUUUCUUACUAAAUCGCUGAUUUAGUGUGUUUGUUGAAUGAUAAAAUCCUCGCUGGUGAUCCUUCUGAUACACUAAAUAUGAAUCCUUGCUACUGCCAAGUUAACAGUUGUGAUUAUAGUACUUUAGAUUCAAUCCAGAGGACCAGUCUACACUUUACUCUUAUAAAUUUCAAUAUCAAGCUAAGAAGAAAAUGGUUUUUAAUUCAAUUGGUGACGCAGAAAACAAGUAAACUAGAGAUUGAUUCAAUUUAACAAGAAGCUAGCCUAGGGUAUUUCAUUGGGUGUUGAGCGAGAGCCAAACAAUUAUUCAAGCGCGGUGCAGUGCUUUCUAGAACUCGGAUCACUCAGCUGGAACACCCCACUGUCGUGGUGGUGAUCUCUUUGCUGGUCGAUCCCAUCAUCUAACUGUCGUUGAGAUGAGAAACGACUGCAAGCCUUAGAGGUCAGGUCCGAUCAGUUCACUUACUACCCUAAUAUCUACUUUCGCUGAUUAGGGAUACUAAGCUCAUUCAAUACAUGUCAAGCUAUCUCCUAAGCGGUUAGCUAGGCGAUAAACUUAGGAUCUAACAUCAAGUGAUCAGAUUAAUGGAAGCCUUAAGAAUAGUAUGGAUGAAGAAUAAUCAAGAAUAGCUUAUCUAUGUUUAGCUCAUAUUUCAACACCCUAAAAACCCUAGGCGAGCUAGAUCACUACUCAAUCAUGAUGCAAGCAAUCAAACACAUAGAUACUGAAUGAAAUUGCAUAAUAAUAAGAGUAGUAAACAAGGGUUCAGAAGGUCUUCUCUAUGAGAGAAUGGAUUCUUCUCCCUUACAAGUUGCAGAUCGCAAAAGCUAAUAGUUCUCUUGUAAAAACUAGCGUAAGAAAUAAAAUAGGAUAGGUGGCGUCUUUAUAUGGAGGCGCCAAUAGGUAGAAGAGAAAUUAGGGCAACAAGGCCUUAAUUCCCAAAAAUAGAAGCUUCCUUAUUUGUCGGGAACAACCUCGGGAUCACUCCGUCUGCUUGUUCUGCUUGAGAACAGUCUCGGGACUGUUCGUCUUGAGUGUUCUCCGCAAAAUGCUCCAAAAGGACAGCUUCUCUUCAAGCACGCUUUCUUCAUUCUUCUACCAACUCCAGACCUGUAAGAGAUCAAAAAAGACUAGAUUGACUUUGCAGUGGGAGCAGU
rnacentral:lncRNA from 1 species